GACCAUAGAAACUCAUUGGUGGGACCACACGUUGUUUGCUCGACACUCCACGGCCCCUGGGAAGGUCUGAGACUGGAACCUCUGGCAGCCCUAACAGUGCUCUCCACGCGUGAGGAGGUGAGUUCCCAGAGAGUAGGGCUCCACGUGUGGGACGGUUGGGCAGGAAAGACCCCGAGUGGGCAGAUGCCUCCCUCACUGGAGCUUGGAACAAAAUGACUCACAAUUAAAAAAGAAUAAAUAAUGCUGGACUUUAGACAUUUGACAUACAAUAAAUGAACAAUGGUGAAAGGAAUUUUUAAAUUUUGUAUUCGUUAUUUUAUUUAUUUACAUGUUAAAUGUUAUUCUUCUUCCCAGUUUCCCCUCCGAAAAUCCCCAUAUACCACCCCCUUGCCCCUGCU
rnacentral:RNase_P_RNA from 1 species